CACGUAGGGCGCAAGCGUUGUCCGGAAUUAUUGGGCGUAAAGAGCUCGUAGGUGGUUUGUUACGUCCGCUGUGAAAUCCUAGGGCUUAACCCUGGGCUUGCAGUGGAUACGGGCAGACUAGAGGUAGGUAGGGGAGAAUGGAAUUCCUGGUGUAGCGGUGAAAUGCGCAGAUAUCAGGAGGAACACCAGUGGCGAAGGCGGCUCACUGGCUCGGUACUGACGCUGAGGUGCGAAAGCGUGGGGAGCAAACAGG
rnacentral:rRNA from 1 species